GAGGGCAUAGCUCAGUGGUAGAGCACAUGCCUAGCACACACAAGGUCCUGAGUUCCAUCCCCAGUACCUCCA
rnacentral:tRNA from 1 species